UGGGGAAUUUUGGACAAUGGGCGAAAGCCUGAUCCAGCAAUGCCGCGUGUGUGAAGAAGGCCUUCGGGUUGUAAAGCACUUUUGUCCGGAAAGAAAUCCUUGGCUCUAAUACAGUCGGGGGAUGACGGUACCGGAAGAAUAAGCACCGGCUAACUACGUGCCAGCAGCCGCGGUAAUACGUAGGGUGCAAGCGUUAAUCGGAAUUACUGGGCGUAAAGCGUGCGCAGGCGGUUUGCUAAGACCGAUGUGAAAUCCCCGGGCUCAACCUGGGAACUGCAUUGGUGACUGGCAGGCUAGAGUAUGGCAGAGGGGGGUAGAAUUCCACGUGUAGCAGUGAAAUGCGUAGAGAUGUGGAGGAAUACCGAUGGCGAAGGCAGCCCCCUGGGCCAAUACUGACGCUCAUGCACGAAAGCGUGGGGAGCAAACAGGAUUAGAUACCCUGGUAGUCCACGCCCUAAACGAUGUCAACUAGUUGUUGGGGAUUCAUUCCUUAGUAACGUAGCUAACGCGUGAAGUUGACCGCCUGGGGAGUACGGUCGCAAGAUUAAAACUUAAAUGGAAUUGAC
rnacentral:rRNA from 1 species